GGAAUAUUGGACAAUGGGCGAAAGCCUGAUCCAGCCAUGCCGCGUGUGUGAAGAAGGUCUUCGGAUUGUAAAGCACUUUAAGUUGGGAGGAAGGGCAGUUACCUAAUACGUAUCUGUUUUGACGUUACCGACAGAAUAAGCACCGGCUAACUCUGUGCCAGCAGCCGCGGUAAUACAGAGGGUGCAAGCGUUAAUCGGAAUUACUGGGCGUAAAGCGCGCGUAGGUGGUUUGUUAAGUUGGAUGUGAAAUCCCCGGGCUCAACCUGGGAACUGCAUUCAAAACUGACAAGCUAGAGUAUGGUAGAGGGUGGUGGAAUUUCCUGUGUAGCGGUGAAAUGCGUAGAUAUAGGAAGGAACACCAGUGGCGAAGGCGACCACCUGGACUGAUACUGACACUGAGGUGCGAAAGCGUGGGGAGCAAACAGGAUUAGAUACCCUUG
rnacentral:rRNA from 1 species